AACUUAGUAGCUUAGUUAGUAAAGUAUCUACUUCUUACUUAAAGUAGCUAACGUUUAUUUAUAAGGCUUAAUUACUUAAAGAAUACUUAGCUAUAUAAGUAUAUAAAAAGUCUUAAGUUUAAUUCUUAGCUAAGUUA